rnacentral:rRNA from 1 species
CCUACGGGAGGCAGCAGUGGGGAAUUUUGGACAAUGGGCGCAAGUCUGAUCCAGCAAUGCCGCGUGAGUGAAGAAGGCCUUCGGGUUGUAAAGCUCUUUUGUCAGGGAAGAAACGGUGGGAGCUAAUAUCUCUUACUAAUGACGGUACCUGAAGAAUAAGCACCGGCUAACUACGUGCCAGCAGCCGCGGUAAUACGUAGGGUGCAAGCGUUAAUCGGAAUUACUGGGCGUAAAGCGUGCGCAGGCGGUUUUGUAAGUCUGUCGUGAAAGCCCCGGGCUCAACCUGGGAAUUGCGAUGGAGACUGCAAGGCUUGAAUCUGGCAGAGGGGGGUAGAAUUCCACGUGUAGCAGUGAAAUGCGUAGAGAUGUGGAGGAACACCGAUGGCGAAGGCAGCCCCCUGGGUCAAGAUUGACGCUCAUGCACGAAAGCGUGGGGAGCAAACAGGAUUAGAUACCCUGGUAGUCCACGCCCUAAACGAUGUCUACUAGUUGUCGGGUUUUAAUUAACUUGGUAACGCAGCUAACGCGUGAAGUAGACCGCCUGGGGAUACGGUCGCAAGAUUAAAACUCAAAGAGUAGUAGCGUGAGAGUGCGACGAGACACAGGAGGUUAGG